rnacentral:rRNA from 1 species
UACAGGGGGGGCAAGCGUUGUUCGGAAUUACUGGGCGUAAAGGGCUCGUAGGCGGCCAACUAAGUCAUACGUGAAAUCCCUCGGCUUAACCGGGGAACUGCGUCUGAUACUGGAUGGCUUGAGUUCGGGAGAGGGAUGCGGAAUUCCAGGUGUAGCGGUGAAAUGCGUAGAUAUCUGGAGGAACACCGGUGGCGAAGGCGGCAUCCUGGACCGAUACUGACGCUGAGGAGCGAAAGCCAGGGGAGCAAACGGG